UACGAAGGGGGCUAGCGUUGCUCGGAAUCACUGGGCGUAAAGGGUGCGUAGGCGGGUCUUUAAGUCAGGGGGGAAAUCCUGGAGCUCAACUCCAGAACUGCCUUUGAUACUGAAGAUCUUGAGUUCGGGAGAGGUGAGUGGAACUGCGAGUGUAGAGGUGAAAUUCGUAGAUAUUCACAGGAACUCCGGUGGCGAAGGCGGCUCGCUGGAUCUUUUCUGACGCUGAGGCGCGAAAGCUAGGGGAGCAAACGGG
rnacentral:rRNA from 1 species